rnacentral:lncRNA from 1 species
UUGAACAGCAAUUUUCAGAUCUCAGGACAAGUUUUCUUUGGAACACAUUAUAAAUUUUUGUUUUUCAAAUGAUUUCAACUGACAUAAACAAGACUGGAAAGGUCGAAAUUACCAAAAUGCUAAUUUCACUAUUAUUGGUUCUUUUGUCGUGCCCAGCUCUUAAUGAUGGAAAACCCUGUAUCACAGUAACAUUCCUUUAAAUGAACUGGAGAAGUCUUGAUUACAAUAAUCAUAUUGCUUUUUACUUUUCAACACUAUUGGAUCUUGUGUCAUACCAGCUUUAGAUGGUGGAUGGAGUAUAUGGAGGUGUUAAGAAUUGCACAAGAGGUGUUCCUGCUACCUCUCUAUAUGUAGACAACGUCACUGUUGUUGUGACGUUCUUAUUUCUAAGCCUUAAUUUAUGUCCGUUACAACGCCCUUAGGGAGGAAAACUACACCCUCAAAUGGACUGUAGAAGUCCAGAUUACAAUAAUGGUACUUUCAGCACCAUUGCACGGUUUGGUUGUCUUGCCCAGCUCUUAAUGGUCCAAAAUGCUGUACAAUGGAUUAUGUUUUAAAAAUUGAAGAUAAAAGAUUAAGUUUUGAAUAUCUUCUUUUUUUCUCUGAAGAUGGCAAAUCAAAUUAUUAAUUCACG